rnacentral:sRNA from 1 species
CAUUUUCAGUAAAGAAGUCCUGAGUAAACACGUUGUCGUUGAAUACCGCUUCUCUGCCGAACCUUAUAUUAGUGCCUCAUGCAGUAAUGUCUCAGUUUUAUCUCAGUUAAUGCCUGCGGGCUAAGAAAACACUCUAAGGAAUUUUGCAAAUGGCAAAGAUUAAAGGUCAAGUUAAGUGGUUCAACGAGUCUAAAGGUUUUGGUUUCAUUACUCCUGCUGACGGCAGCAAAGACGUGUUCGUACACUUCUCUGCAAUCCAGGGUAACGGCUUCAAAACUCUGGCUGAAGGCCAGAACGUUGAGUUCGAAAUUCAGGAUGGCCAGAAAGGCCCUGCUGCAGUUAACGUAACUGCUAU